rnacentral:rRNA from 1 species
UUCGCAGGCGGCGUAUUAAGUCAGUGGUGAAAUCCCUCGGCUCAACCGAGGAACUGCCAUUGAUACUGGUAUGCUAGAGUAUAGUUGGCGUAGGCGGAAUGUAUCAUGUAGCGGUGAAAUGCUUAGAUAUGAUACAGAACACCGAUCGCAAAGGCAGCUUACGAAACUAUAACUGACGCUCAGGAACGAAAGCGUGGGGAGCGAACAGGAUUAGAUACCCUGGUAGUCC